UAAAGACAAGAUGCACUUUGAAUCUGGAUCAACCUUGAAAAAAUUCCUGGAGGAAUCUGUGUCAAUGAGCCCUGAAGAACGAGCCAGAUACCUGGAGAACUAUGAUGCCAUCCGAGUUACUCAUGAGACCAGUGCCCAUGAAGGUCAGACUGAGGCACCAAGUAUAGAUGAGAAAGUAGAUCUUCAUUUUAUUGCAUUAGUUCAUGUAGAUGGGCAUCUCUAUGAAUUAGAGAACAGAGCUCGGAGCUCUGGAAAUUUGGAGGCAACUGAUAUGUGCUCAUGUCUGCAUCUGUGUGGGUUGGCUGUAUCUCAGGGACAGAGUCUGCAGCAAAAAAGAUAUAAUUUUGAGGACUGAACAAAAUUCAGGAAGGACUAUUCUCAUUAAG
ensembl:lncRNA novel transcript